rnacentral:sRNA from 4 species
AACUAGCCCCGAUGGAAGCAAAUAUCCUUUUUAUCCGCCGCGGCGGAUAAAAAGAUAUUGUGUACAGCGGGAACUAAU